rnacentral:rRNA from 1 species
GGUCUUCGGAUGCUGACGAGUGGCGAACGGGUGAGUAAUACAUCGGAACGUGCCUAGUAGUGGGGGAUAACUACUCGAAAGAGUGGCUAAUACCGCAUGAGAUCUACGGAUGAAAGCAGGGGAUCGCAAGACCUUGUGCUACUAGAGCGGCCGAUGGCAGAUUAGGUAGUUGGUGGGAUAAAAGCUUACCAAGCCGACGAUCUGUAGCUGGUCUGAGAGGACGAUCAGCCACACUGGGACUGAGACACGGCCCAGACUCCUACGGGAGGCAGCAGUGGGGAAUUUUGGACAAUGGGCGCAAGCCUGAUCCAGCAAUGCCGCGUGCAGGAUGAAGGCCUUCGGGUUGUAAACUGCUUUUGUACGGAACGAAAAGCCCUGGGUUAAUACCCUGGGGUCAUGACGGUACCGUAAGAAUAAGCACCGGCUAACUACGUGCCAGCAGCCGCGGUAAUACGUAGGGUGCGAGCGUUAAUCGGAAUUACUGGGCGUAAAGCGUGCGCAGGCGGUUUUGUAAGACAGAGGUGAAAUCCCCGGGCUCAACCUGGGAACUGCCUUUGUGACUGCAAGGCUAGAGUACGGCAGAGGGGGAUGGAAUUCCGCGUGUAGCAGUGAAAUGCGUAGAUAUGCGGAGGAACACCGAUGGCGAAGGCAAUCCCCUGGGCCUGUACUGACGCUCAUGCACGAAAGCGUGGGGAGCAAACAGG